UCUCCGUUGGUGAACCAGCGGAGGGAUCAUUACAGAGUUGCAAAACUCCCAAACCAUUGUGAACGUUACCUAUCCCGUUGCUUCGGCGGGCGGCCCGGGCCCCGCGCCCGGCGCCCCCCGGCCCCCCGUGGGCGCCCGCCGGAGGUAAACCAAACCCUUGAAUUGCAUGGCCUCUCUGAGUCUUCUGUACUGAAUAAGUCAGAACUUUCAACAACGGAUCUCUUGGUUCUG
rnacentral:misc_RNA from 1 species